GGCGCAAUAGUGUAGUGGGUAACAUACUCGUCAUGUACGCGGGAGGCUGGGGUUCGAUUCCCGUUGCGCCU